GAUGAACGCUGGCGGCGUGCCUAAUACACGCAAGUCGAGCGAACGGACGAGAAGCUUGCUUCUCUGAUGUUAGCGGCGGACGGGUGAGUAACACGCGGAUAACUUACCUAUAAGACUGGGAUAACUUCGGGAAACCGGAGCUAAUACCGGAUAAUAUUUUGAACCGCAUGGUUCAAAAGUGAAAGACGGUCUUGCUGUCACUUAUAGAUGGAUCCGCGCUGCAUUAGCUAGUUGGUAAGGUAACGGCUUACCAAGGCAACGAUGCAUAGCCGACCUGAGAGGGUGAUCGGCCACACUGGAACUGAGACACGGUCCAGACUCCUACGGGAGGCAGCAGUAGGGAAUCUUUCGCAAUGGGCGAAAGCCUGACGGAGCAACGCCGCGUGAGUGAUGAAGGUCUUCGGAUCGUAAAACUCUGUUAUUAGGGAAGAACAUAUGUGUAAGUAACUGUGCACAUCUUGACGGUACCUAAUCAGAAAGCCACGGCUAACUACGUGCCAGCAGCCGCGGUAAUACGUAGGUGGCAAGCGUUAUCCGGAAUUAUUGGGCGUAAAGCGCGCGUAGGCGGUUUUUUAAGUCUGAUGUGAAAGCCCACGGCUCAACCGUGGAGGGUCAUUGGAAACUGGAAAACUUGAGUGCAGAAGAGGAAAGUGGAAUUCCAUGUGUAGCGGUGAAAUGCGCAGAGAUAUGGAGGAACACCAGUGGCGAAGGCGACUUUCUGGUCUGUAACUGACGCUGAUGUGCGAAAGCGUGGGGAUCAAACAGGAUUAGAUACCCUGGUAGUCCACGCCGUAAACGAUGAGUGCUAAGUGUUAGGGGGUUUCCGCCCCUUAGUGCUGCAGCUAACGCAUUAAGCACUCCGCCUGGGGAGUACGACCGCACGGUUGAAACUCAAAGGAAUUGACGGGGACCCGCACAAGCGGUGGAGCAUGUGGUUUAAUUCGAAGCAACGCGAAGAACCUUACCAAAUCUUGACAUCCUUUGACAACUCUAGAGAUAGAGCCUUCCCCUUCGGGGGACAAAGUGACAGGUGGUGCAUGGUUGUCGUCAGCUCGUGUCGUGAGAUGUUGGGUUAAGUCCCGCAACGAGCGCAACCCUUAAGCUUAGUUGCCAUCAUUAAGUUGGGCACUCUAAGUUGACUGCCGGUGACAAACCGGAGGAAGGUGGGGAUGACGUCAAAUCAUCAUGCCCCUUAUGAUUUGGGCUACACACGUGCUACAAUGGACAAUACAAAGGGCAGCGAAACCGCGAGGUCAAGCAAAUCCCAUAAAGUUGUUCUCAGUUCGGAUUGUAGUCUGCAACUCGACUACAUGAAGCUGGAAUCGCUAGUAAUCGUAGAUCAGCAUGCUACGGUGAAUACGUUCCCGGGUCU
rnacentral:rRNA from 1 species